AACCCAUGGUGAGGGCAUCUUCUCAAUAAAUCCUUAUACUCUCCCAUGCAUCAUAUAAGGUCUCUAAAUCCAUUUGCAUGAAGGAAGAGAUAUCAAUCCUCAACUU
rfam:Gossypium hirsutum cultivar TM-1 unplaced genomic scaffold scaffold3136.1, whole genome shotgun sequence